rnacentral:rRNA from 1 species
UUGAACGCUGGCGGUAUGCUUAACACAUGCAAGUCGAACGGAAACGAUACUAGCUUGCUAGUAGGCGUCGAGUGGCGGACGGGUGAGUAACGCGUAGGAAUCUGCCUGAUAGUGGGGGAUAGCCCGAAGAAAUUCGGAUUAAUACCGCAUAAUCUAUUCGUAGUAAAGUGGGGGACUUUCGAGCCUCACGCUAUCAGAUGAGCCUGCGUAAGAUUAGCUUGUUGGUAGGGUAAAAGCCUACCAAGGCGACGAUCUUUAGCUGGUCUGAGAGGAUGAUCAGCCACAUCGGGACUGAGACACGGCCCGAACUCCUACGGGAGGCAGCAGUGGGGAAUAUUGGACAAUGGGGGCAACCCUGAUCCAGCAAUACCGCGUGUGUGAAGAAGGCCUGAGGGUUGUAAAGCACUUUCAAUUGUGAAGAAAAGUUAGCGGUUAAUAACCGUUAGCCUUGACGUUAACUUUAGAAGAAGCACCGGCUAACUCCGUGCCAGCAGCCGCGGUAAUACGGAGGGUGCAAGCGUUAAUCGGAAUUACUGGGCGUAAAGCGUGCGUAGGCGGUUUAUUAAGUCAGAUGUGAAAGCCCCGGGCUUAACCUGGGAACUGCAUUUGAAACUGGUCAACUAGAGUAUGGUAGAGGAAAGUGGAAUUUCUGGUGUAGCGGUGAAAUGCGUAGAUAUCAGAAGGAACAUCAAUGGCGAAGGCAGCUUUCUGGACCAAUACUGACGCUGAGGUACGAAAGCGUGGGUAGCAAACAGGAUUAGAUACCCUGGUAGUCCACGCCGUAAACGAUGAUAACUAGCCGUUGGGGGGAUUUACCCUUUAGUGGCGAAGCUAACGCGUUAAGUUAUCCGCCUGGGGAGUACGGCCGCAAGGUUAAAACUCAAAGGAAUUGACGGGGACCCGCACAAGCGGUGGAGCAUGUGGUUUAAUUCGAUGCAACGCGAAGAACCUUACCUGGUCUUGACAUCCUGCGAACUUUCUAGAAAUAGAUUGGUGCCUUCGGGAACGCAGUGACAGGUGCUGCAUGGCUGUCGUCAGCUCGUGUCGUGAGAUGUUGGGUUAAGUCCCGUAACGAGCGCAACCCCUAUCCUUAUUUGCCAGCACAUCAUGGUGGGAACUAUAAGGAGACUGCCGGUGAUAAACCGGAGGAAGGCGGGGACGACGUCAAGUCAUCAUGGCCCUUACGACCAGGGCUACACACGUGCUACAAUGGGAAGGACAAAGAGCCGCGAAGCCGCGAGGUGUAGCUAAUCUCAUAAACCUUUUCGUAGUCCGGAUUGGAGUCUGCAACUCGACUCCAUGAAGUCGGAAUCGCUAGUAAUCGUAGAUCAGAAUGCUACGGUGAAUACGUUCCCGGGUCUUGUACACACCGCCCGUCA